CGGGUGAGUAAUGUCUGGGAAACUGCCUGAUGGAGGGGGAUAACUACUGGAAACGGUAGCUAAUACCGCAUAACGUCGCAAGACCAAAGAGGGGGACCUUCGGGCCUCUUGCCAUCGGAUGUGCCCAGAUGGGAUUAGCUAGUAGGUGGGGUAACGGCUCACCUAGGCGACGAUCCCUAGCUGGUCUGAGAGGAUGACCAGCCACACUGGAACUGAGACACGGUCCAGACUCCUACGGGAGGCAGCAGUGGGGAAUAUUGCACAAUGGGCGCAAGCCUGAUGCAGCCAUGCCGCGUGUAUGAAGAAGGCCUUCGGGUUGUAAAGUACUUUCAGCGGGGAGGAA
rnacentral:rRNA from 1 species